AAUGAACGCUGGCGGCAUGCCUAACACAUGCAAGUCGAACGAAGGCUUCGGCCUUAGUGGCGCACGGGUGCGUAACGCGUGGGAAUCUACCCUUGGGUUCGGAAUAACUCAGAGAAAUUUGAGCUAAUACCGGAUGAUGUCGAGAGACCAAAGAUUUAUCGCCCAAGGAUGAGCCCGCGUAGGAUUAGCUAGUUGGUGGGGUAAAGGCCCACCAAGGCGACGAUCCUUAGCUGGUCUGAGAGGAUGAUCAGCCACACUGGGACUGAGACACGGCCCAGACUCCUACGGGAGGCAGCAGUGGGGAAUAUCGGACAAUGGGCGAAAGCCUGAUCCAGCAAUGCCGCGUGAGUGAUGAAGGCCUUAGGGUUGUAAAGCUCUUUUACCCGGGAUGAUAAUGACAGUACCGGGAGAAUAAGCUCCGGCUAACUUCGUGCCAGCAGCCGCCGUAAUAC
rnacentral:rRNA from 1 species